UGGGGAAUCUUGCACAAUGGGGGAAACCCUGAUGCAGCGACGCCGCGUGAGCGAUGAAGGUUUUCGAAUCGUAAAGCUCUUUCCUAUGGGAAGAUAAUGACGGUACCAUGGGAGGAAGCCCCGGCUAACUACGUGCCAGCAGCCGCGGUAAUACGUAGGGGGCGAGCGUUGUCCGGAAUUACUGGGCGUAAAGGGUUCGCAGGCGGAAAUGCAAGUCAGGUGUAAAAGGCAGUAGCUUAACUACUGUAAGCAUUUGAAACUGCAUAUCUUGAGAAGAGUAGAGGUAAGUGGAAUUUUUAGUGUAGCGGUGAAAUGCGUAGAUAUUAAAAAGAAUACCGGUGGGGAAGGCGACUUACUGGGCUCAUUCUGACGCUGAGGAACGAAAGCGUGGGUAGCAAACAGG
rnacentral:rRNA from 1 species